rnacentral:lncRNA from 1 species
GUAUUUACUGUAAUGCAUUGAUGUUUAUCUCUUUUUUUUUUUGUCUUUCUCUAUAAUGCAGGGUGAAGUUAAAAGAUGGAGUGGCGUUUCUUGGUGCUCGACCCAGUAACCCCACGCUUUGGAUGGUUAGUCAAGAUGUCAGAACAGAAGGUCACAGGAUUGUGACACUUCAUUGUCGCCGUAAGGAGUCCAGCUAUGGACAGAGAAGAAAAAAAAAGAAAGAAAGAAAAGAAAGUCUCAGGUUUGGAACAACAUUGUGGUGAGUAAAGUAAAAACAACAUGAUUUCCUUAAUGUGAUAUUAUCACAUUUAAAAACUAAAUUUUUUUCACGCAGUUCAUAUUUCUAUAUAUAAAGUCGCUAAAUGUUUAGUAGUUGUUAAACGUUGUGUUUAAACAUUUCUUACAUGCCAAAGUCUAAUCAAUCCAGAAGAAAAAUAAAAGAAAAUAAAAGAAUAACCUUGCACGUAAAAAUCACACAGACAAACAGAAGUUUACCAUUUCUUAAUUUGAUAUUGUGAAAUUGAAUGCAAUAUUAACUGAGUUACCCAGCUGCCUUUGUAAUAGGGAGUCCCUAGUCAUGUCACAUGACAAAUUUCUGCUUAAUCCAGUCUGGCAUUGAUCUAAGACCAGGAGUUUAGGACUAAAUAAAGCAUGUUAGCUUUAAUCUAGGUCUAUUGGGACGUCCAGAGCUCUAAUCUCUCCAGCUGGCGCAGGCACGUCUUAAAGACAAAAGAAGCACCACAGAGCUUACUGUGUAUGAUCCAUUUCCCUCUUUCAUCUGGCUCCUUUUUCACUUUCCCUUAUUGCUUGAGCUAUUCCGUCUGUCUGUUUCUUAUGUUUCUUUCUACUCUUUUAUUCUCUGUAAAAUUCCAGCACAUUUUGUAGAUAUCCAGGGGCUAAUUUACUUAACAGUUGCUCCACCUGUCUCAUUCAUUACCCGCCCACAAUGAAGUUUAACCAGAUGCUUUCUGCACAGGUAUAGCACUGCACAUUGAGUAUUCAGAACAAAUCAUUGUCUUUUCAGCACAAACACAUUUAAAAGAGAUUGUCUAUUGAUCAAUGCAGCAGUAAUC